GAUGAACGCUGGCGGCGUGCUUAACACAUGCAAGUCGAACGGACGGCGAAGAGCUUGCUCUUCAAAGUUAGUGGCGGACGGGUGAGUAACGCGUGGGUAACCUGCCUCACACAGGGGGAUAACAGUUGGAAACGGCUGCGAAAACCGCAUAAGCAUACAUUGCCGCAUGGCAGAGUGUGAAAAUAUUUAUAGGUGUGGGAUGGGCCCGCGUCUGAUUAGCUAGUUGGUAGGGUAACGGCCUACCAAGGCGACGAUCAGUAGCCGGCUUGAGAGAGUGACCGGCCACAUUGGGACUGAGACACGGCCCAAACUCCUACGGGAGGCAGCAGUGGGGAAUAUUGCACAAUGGGGGAAACCCUGAUGCAGCGACGCCGCGUGAGUGAAGAAGUAUUUCGGUAUGUAAAGCUCUAUCAGCAGGGAAGAAAAUGACGGUACCUGACUAAGAAGCCCCGGCUAACUACGUGCCAGCCGCCGCGGUAACAC
rnacentral:rRNA from 1 species